rnacentral:rRNA from 1 species
AUGGAGAUGGCAGUGGCUGCACUCACGCUCCUGUUCCUCAGCCAUCUGAGUGGCCUUCUUGGAUUGAUUGUCUGGUGGCGGCGUGGUGUUAUUGGUUUGCUCAACAUUCGCCAUCAUUUCAUCAAUUCACAGCAGUGGCUAUUGGUUCGGCCCUUCUGCUCAUGCGAAUCUGUGUUUACUCAGGAUCCAGCCUACGCGCAUGAUCUAGCCGAGGCGGGGGGCGCUCGAUCCAAUUCGACGCGGGGGCAAUCCAUCGCAGCAAGGGGGAAAUGGAGGGAUGCGGGUGUUGCAAGCCGACGCUUCAUCUGA